rnacentral:rRNA from 1 species
UUAGUCUUAUAAUUGAAGACUGGAAUGAAAGGAUUUACCAAGAGAAACCUAUCUCAAAAGUAAUUUAUUGAAUUUUACCUUUUAGUAAAAAGGCUAAAAUUUUCCUUUAAGACAAGAAGACCCUAUAAAACUUUACAUUAAUUUAACUUAAAAAUUUCUGAGAGAUGUUAUACUGGGGCGGUAUAAGACUUUUAAACGUCUUGAAAUCACCAAAACUUAAAAGUUUAAAUAACUAAAACUUUUAAAAUAGAAUAAGUUACUUUAGGGAUAACAGCGUAAUUCAUUUUGAAAGUUCUUAUUGAUACAUGAGCUUGCGACCUCGAUGUUGGAUUAAAGUUUCUUUCUAUGCAUAAGUAG